GGGAAUGAAACUCAGUGGUAGAGAGCUAGCCCCACAUGCAUAGAGCCCUGGGUUUAAUCCCCAGCAUGGCAA
rnacentral:tRNA from 1 species